CCGACCUUAGCUCAGUUGGUAGAGCGGAGGACUGUAGUUGAUGAUAUCAGAUAAUCCUUAGGUCGCUGGUUCGAAUCCGGCAGGUCGGA
rnacentral:tRNA from 1 species